GAUGAACGCUGGCGGCGUGCCUAAUACAUGCAAGUCGAGCGAACAGAUGAGGAGCUUGCUCCUCUGACGUUAGCGGCGGACGGGUGAGUAACACGUGGAUAACCUACCUAUAAGACUGGGAUAACCUCGGGAAACCGGAGCUAAUACCGGAUAAUAUAUUGAACCGCAUGGUUCAAUAGUGAAAGACGGUUUUGCUGUCACUUAUAGAUGGAUCCGCGCCGCAUUAGCUAGUUGGUAAGGUAACGGCUUACCAAGGCAACGAUGCGUAGCCGACCUGAGAGGGGUGAUGGCCCACAUGGAACCGGAGCACCGCCCAGCCCUCCUACGGGGGGCAGCAGUGGGAAUUUUCCCGAAAGGGGGGAAGGCCGGACGGAGCACCGCCGGGUGAGUGAUGAAGGUCUUGGAAUCUAAAAACUUUUUUAUUGGGAAAAAAAAAAUGUUUAAGUACCUAUGCCCGUUUUGACGGUACCUAAUCAAAAAGCCAGGGCUAACUCCGUG
rnacentral:rRNA from 1 species